GACGAACCGUGCGAACGUUAUUCGGAAUCACUGGGCUUAAAGCGCGUGUAGGCGGGCCGGCACGUCGGGUGUGAAAGCCCUCAGCUUAACUGAGGAAGUGCGCCCGAAACUGCUUUGCUUGAGUGCCGGAGAGGAUGGCGGAAUUCCCCAAGUAGAGGUGAAAUUCGUAGAUAUGGGGAGGAACACCGGUGGCGAAGGCGGCCAUCUGGACGGUAACUGACGCUGAGACGCGAAAGCGUGGGUAGCAAACAGG
rnacentral:rRNA from 1 species